rnacentral:rRNA from 1 species
GUGCGAGACCGAUAGCGAACAAGUACCGUGAGGGAAAGAUGAAAAGAACUUUGAAAAGAGAGUUAAAGAGUACCUGAAACUGCUGAAAGGGAACCGAAUCGUAUCCAGUGUCUAUAAUCCAUGGCAUAUUUCAUUGGCGAGUGAGUGCGUGCAGCGUUUUGGAAGUGGUUUUCCGCUCCUGUCGUUGUUGUGCAUUUGCUUGCUGGUGCCCUGUGCUGUGGUGGGACGUCAGAGUCAGUUUGUAUGUUGCGGGAAAUGGUUAUUGGGGAGGUAGGUCACUUCGGUGGCUGUUAUAUCCUGGUAACUAGUCGUCGUGGCUGAGACUGAGGUGCCUACAAUGUGCUUUCGAGUGUGCGGGACUCUCGUGUGGCUGUUUGCUUUGAUAGCUUGCUAUGUUGGUGAAUAAGUCGCGCGAUUGAGACUUGUAUUAACUUGUUGCUGUUCGGGACUUUGAA